rnacentral:rRNA from 1 species
UACGGAGGGGGCUAGCGUUAUUCGGAAUUAUUGGGCGUAAAGGGCGCGUAGGCGGCCCGGUAAGUCAAAGGUGAAAUCCCUCGGCUCAACUGAGGAACUGCCUUUGAAACUGUCGGGCUUGAGUCCGGGAGGGGGUAGCGGAAUUCCCAGUGUAGCGGUGAAAUGCGUAGAUAUUGGGAGGAACACCGGUGGCGAAGGCGGCUACCUGGACCGGUUCUGACGCUGAUGCGCGAAAGCGUGGGUAGCAAACAGG